AAAAAAAAAAAAAAAGAGUUGGGAUGCAGGUCAGUAGCGUUGAGGACAAAGUUUUCCCUCCCUUCUUUUCCCCUCCCUCCCUUCCUCCUUCUGUUUCUUCUCUCCCUCCCUGGCUUUCAGCAUUGUUAAUCAUUCCCCAGCUGCUAGCAUCUGCAGGCUGAGCCGGCAGAGAAGUGUGAGCCUUAUCCUGUGCCGGAGCCAGGGGCCCCAACUCCAAGAAAAAGAGAGUGUAACCCGGCAGCCCUUCUGGAAUGUCCUGCCAAGUCUCAGAGGGUGAGUUAAGCACCACCCUUGGCCUAGAGGUCAGAUCAAAGUUGGGAGUCACCAAAUCUCAAGGAUCCAACAGGAAAGUGAGUGAAUGGGGGUUUCACAGGGACAUUCUAGACUCUAGACUGAGGGGGGGGGGGAAGGCAGUUGUAUACUCCCCUUCUCCCCACCCAGUUCUGAGGUACUUCUCUUCAGCCUAAAUGGAAGGGAAACAUGGGUUCUGCCCAGAAGCCAGGGAGAGCAAACCGGAGUGGAGGAACAAACAUAUACAGUUCCCCUGCCCUUGGGAGCAGGCUCCCACCAGCCCCAGGGGAGAGGCUGCAAGCUGAAGUAAACAAGUUCCAGAGAAGGGAGCAAAACUCCAGGCAGUAUUCCAGGAACUCUGUCAGAUGUGAGGGGUGCCUGGAGGCCUUGUCCUGGCUGCCCAGAUGCUGGGUGGGGGCUUUCCAAAAGCCCUGGAAAUUCUGAGCGUCUACGGAGGCCCCAGGUGCAGGGCUGAGCCUGCGCAGAAAACUCUUCCACGUUAGAGCCAAUGAGGAUGCGCAGUGCAACCCUGGCCAAGGUCCGGACUCCCCAGCUGGGGAUGUCUGGGAAAGUAGACUGCCCAGAGAGCAGAACACGGGGUCCACGGGUGUGCUUUUGACAGCCAGAAGUGGGGGUGGAGUGCGGUGUUUUCCAUGGCAAAAGAUGGAUGCUAGUCCAGGUCCUUGGGCACUGCCAAGUUCCCUGCAACCUCAACAGUACUCCUUGAGGUCCUAUUGGGUGGGUCAAUCCACAGUCAUUGAAUUAGCUUACGCAAUCAGCCCCAGGUAAUGGAAGGCAGCAUGGUUCUGGGCAAUAAAGCCCAGUAGUGUGAGCCGAGGGUCACUUGCUUUGUUUCUGCCUUGUUGCAAAAGUCCUCCAAAGUGCAGAUAAAUCAGAUGCUGAAAUCUGUGAUGGCAGACACAGAUCCCCACCCACCCAGUUCAGACCUUUGACUACGAUAUACGACUAUAGCCGGCAACCGUCACAUGCUGCGGAAGCUGCUGCCUAAUCCCAGCACCCCAACCCCAAAGCCUCCACUCAGCACAGGACCCUCGGUACACAUGAGCAUCUUGUUUCUCUAACGCCAGCAGGGAUGGAGGUAACAAGACUGUCCUCCCAGCCCAGGCUGACAGUGGCGUCUGGAGAAUUCAGGACCUGCCUGGGCUACAGGAUGAGACCCUAUCCCAAACCGGAAACCAACAAAUAAAAACAAAAUCUCCACCUUAGGAGAUGAGAGGUGAGUGGUGGAACAGGAUGCCAACGGGACAGCUUCAUCUCACAGACCUAGCCCUUCUUGUCCCACUACAGUGGCCUCUAGUCAGGACAGGAAGAAGCCUCCCUAGAGCAAGGUGUCGAAGGAAGCAGGCAACUAGAUGCCCUGAUCUAGAGGAAACUGGUUUGAAUCCCUCCUACAACGCCUCUCACCUCAGUGUUCUAGGUGUGUCUAAGAAGGCCCUGCUUGUCCAGCUCCUAUGAGGAAGGGCACUGGGUGAGGCCAGUGGUGAGGCCUGAUGCCAGGUGGUUCACAACUAGGUUCAGGUCCCCUUUAGGGCAAAGGCUGGCCUGAACCAGGGACCUCUCUCAGUCCCACAAAGCAAGGAUGUGAGUUAGCCUGUGAGCAGGAGGGAAUCCAGCUGUGUGGGAACAAGCCUUUCCCACACCAGCAUGAGCGGGUGGGGGUAUUUAGCCUCUGGGAACAAACAGAAGGAUCCAGAAGGGAGGGACCCUAGAUACAGACACCCCAAAGAUGGAACUUGAAGUAAUCUUUCUUGGAAGCAUGGUGGCUGGGGUCACUCUGAGUAGCAUAUUUCUGGCUGUCCUAAGACUCACUUUGUAGCCGAGUUUUUGGCCUUAGAACCUACAGAGAUCCUUCAGCCUCAGCUGGAAGGCUGGGUUUAAAGCCACAACACUUGCUCCAUAACUGUUUCCAAAAGAAAGUAAUCUAUAGGUGUGGUGAGGGUGGUGCCGAGACCAGUCCGGACCCAACCAGUCCGGACCCACAGGGCUGAGCCCUACCACCCUGCUCCGAAGGACAGUUCUGGACUUUUGUGUAUCUGGGUGUCCUUGGCCUCCAGCUGCCUCCUGCAGGCUGUUGGGAGAAUGACCAGGAUCGCCUCUCUACCUUGUACAGAUACCUACUUAAUGCUGGGCUCUUUUCUUUGCAAAGACACUUUCCUCAAGGUGGUCCGCAGCCUGGAAGCUGCCCCGUGAGCCUCCCUAAGGAGAAACAGCAUUGGGGGUAAAAAAAAAAAAAAAAAAAGACAAAAACUUUUCCUGCCAACAUAACUAGGGUAGUAAGCAACGACAUGUUAGGUCACACACACACACUGAAUACACUUCAGUGUAAGCAGGAUCUGGCUGCGGAAUCAAUUUCUACAGAGUACAGUAGAGACCCAGGGGCCUUAUGCCUACCUAGGGUAAUGACUGGGCCACCCUUAUUGUCCACUGCCCUCCUCCCCAUCGCUCCGUGUCCUCUCUUUUCUUCCUGCCAUCCUGAAGGUCUCGGGAUCACGAAAUGGUGCUUCUAGCCCGAGUGUGCCUGUGCCGCUUUCCACCCACGAGCUUUGCCCACGCCGCGAACACACCAUGGUCUCCCUGCUGUGCCAUGAACACUCGAAUUCCUCCUGCGGUCGCCGAGCUUAAUGGCUCUCCGCAGUCCUUCCCAACCCGGAGGCAGGUGUGCACCCCCAACCUCUGUGAGUCCUUGCAGCCUUCCGGGGGGACUUGUGGCGCGACGAGCACGGUCGCGCAGGACUGAGGAGCGCGGGUCAGGGUGACCGCCAAUUUGUACUCAAUCAUGGGACUGAGGCCAGAAACCCUGGGGACAGGGACAGGAAUGGGUCACAGAGCUGCGCGUAAUCAGAGAGCUCGUCUCUCGGAGAGGGGUCCUGGGACUCUAAGCUGGAGCGCGGAGGCGGCUCCUCCAUGCUCCAAUUGAGCCCUGGAAAAACCCCGGCGCGCGGGCAGGCAAGGGACGGCGGGAACAAAGGCGGCCGGGGCCGGAUGCAGUCAUGGAAAAACCCAUCGGGGCGCCGGCGCGGGGGCGGCGCGCCUGGCAGCCGCAGCAUCUAGCCGGCCUUACGGGCGGGGCCGCUCCCUGUUAGAGUCACCGCGAACAAGGGAAGGCCCCGGGAGCGCGAAAAGUGCGGGACGGGUCACUAGUCCCCAGAGUCACCACGCUCCGGAUGCCGCGAAGCACUGCGGGCUCACGAUCGUGUACCAGGCUGGUAUACGCGGGGCCUUGCGCAUGGCCACCUGAUGUGUGGACGAAAGCGCAGCAGCCGGUAGCAGCAGCCACGUGGGGGGCGCGCACAGACCCCCGCACUGGCGCGACGCGCCCGCACACGCUCCAGUAUGCACAUGAUCACUUACACGCACGUGGGCCCAGACACGCGAGCUGCCUACGACUCCCAAAGCAGAAGGAAGUAAAGGGUUGGACAGAAAGGGGAGGAAAUGAAAUAGAGGCUCGUUAGGGCGCCACGGCUAGACACAGGAACCUCAGAGAUGCGGGAGGCGGGGAUGGGGGGGCCCUUUGUCGAAACGAUCUUUUAGCCGUUCCCCCACCCCACCAAUUUUAGAGAUGCCGGCUCUGGGCCUCCCACAGUCGGACAUGUCCAAUUCCCGCCUCCGGGCUAGAGUUUCCCUCUCGUGCCGGCCGCUGCCCAGCCUAGUCUGGUCUUGUAAAUUUGGCCGUAGAUCUGGAGAGGCGGCGCCCGGAUUCCCCAACCCCCCGUAAAAAGAAGAGUUGGUGCAAGAUGGACCCGUUGACUCCCAAACCUUUUCCAAUUUGGAUUGUUUUUAAUGGAGGAACUGAGAUCGGUGGUGGGAGGUGGCAGAGACUUGUCUCAGUUCAUAUAUAUCCUCCUGUUUAUUUGCGCUGCUGCCUCUGCCUAUUAUGGGGUGGGGGCGCUGGACGGGGUGGAGAGGGUGAAGGAAGAAAGGGUCACAUAACAGCACGUGGCUUUGGUGGCCUAGAGCUUGCUUCUGGGAGCAGAGGAGAAACCCAGGAUUUGCCUAUGUGAAGCUGCUUGUGUGGGCAGUGGGUGGAGGAGCGGGUGGUUCCUGGGAGGCAGAGGACACAGAAGCAGGAACUCAGGACUUCAAACAUUUAAUUAAAAAACAACUGGGUAGUGGCACGUUAUCUCAGACCUUGGGAUACAGGGAGAUCAAUGAAUUCAAAGCCAGCCUUCCUUACAGAGCCUGAGCCGAGCUUAGGCUGCAAGAGACCUUGUCUUUAAAAAUAAGGAAACCAACCAACCAACCCAAACCCUCCAAACUAAUCAAAUAACAAAGAGGAAGCUGUUGUUCUGUGGUCAGACUCCACUCUCGGGAAGACCAUCUUGGCUAGGUCAUGGUUCAGUACCACAAAAACAGGCAGGUGCACCCGACCCCACCGGAUCCAGCGAGUUGGUAUUGACUUGUGGUCUUUGAAACUGAUCUUGGGAUCACAAGACCUAGUGUUCUCUGGGUGUCUCUGGGUGUCUCUGUCUCUGUCUCUCUCUCUCUCACACUCCCUCUCUCUCUCUCACCCUCUCCUUUUCUCCUCCUGUGCCAUCUAAUAUUGUCCAGUCUCAAAUUACUCCAGUAAAAUGGGUCCAAGGUUUAUGGUACUGAAAGUGGGUGUCAGCUUUCCUUUGGCCUUGUUUUACCUCUCUGUGGGACAAGGACCCAUUCUCAACUUCCAUGGCUCCCCUUGAUCACUUCUCAAAGUCCCAGGGGCCUCCCCCUCCAUUCCGGUUUCUUGUGUGCCAGGGCGGGAGUGUGUUUGGAGUGGAGUUGCGGUUAGUAUGGCCAGCAGAAGGAAAGGCUGGGGGAGUAGCGCCCUCUGCCGGACAGCUAUGGAAGGGUCUACUCAGUCCCUGAAGACAGGCCAAGGCUAACCUCAUCUAUGAAUGCUGGAGGGCUUCAGUAACAGCAGGGCUCCAUUGACCAGGUCCCUUGUGUCUUGGUUUCCUCUCGAGCGGACCGAAAGAAUGCUGGCUCUCCACAGCAGCGUCUCCUCAACCAUCCAAUUCAGCUUGUUCCAACUUCAACAAGAUCAGCGAACUUGCUAUUUAUAACGGACUUUACAGUUUACAAAGGUUGUUGCCUCUGGGCGGGACGGCAAUAAAAUGGAAUAAUUUUGUCUUGCUCAGGGGUGGUUUGGAUUCUACUGCCUUCAUCCAGCUGUGUAACCAAGGCAACGUUCAAAACAUUGAAUAACCAGUAGGAUAGGCAUCAGCCAAUCCGAACAAAGCCUGCCGUAAUGGUCAGGGAAGCCCAAAUCUCUGUGUACCUGCUCAAAGUUCUGGAUUAGCAUCAGCCUUAUUGAUUCUGACUUAUCCAGUCUACUGUAUGGAAUUUAGAUGGUAACAGUAUCAUCUUCUAGGGCUUUUGAACCCUAAAUUAAGGCAUGUAAUGGCUUGCCAUAGUGUCAGGCACACCUAAAGCACCCCCCCCAAAAAAAGCCUAAGUAAUUAUAUCUCCUUUCUGUGAGUGAUGAGUCACAUUGGAGUCAUGCUCAGGGUUGAUUGCUUCUCUCAAGGGAGAUUUGCCAGCUGAUUCCACUGUGUGUGCUCAAGGCCCAACCCCUGCCUCCCAUACCCCUGCUUCACACGGAGCAACAUCUCCACAUAGCCCCAAACACCUCUAUGAUUGAGCCUUUCCUCCUGUUUGGCUGUCCCUGCAUCCCGUCACCAACUAGCCCACCUCUCCCAGGUACAUCUCCCAGCCUAGAAAGCUCAGGGCUAUCUGGAUUCUUGUAUCCCUUGCUUCUAAAAACAGCUGCUCUCCCCUGCUUGCCUGGAUACAAUAGUUUCCUAUCUGCCUGUGGCUUCUGGCCAUCUGCCCAUUCCCAGCCCUUCUGCAGUAUUCAUCUCAACAGCACAGCCUGAGGUACCCUCCACCUCUGUACUCUCUACCUCGGAGGGAAGCCUUCAGUGCUUCCUUCUGGUAGACCCAAUAGUCCACACAAUCAUCACAGUUCACACUUCCCAGUUGCUUCUCACAAUGACUCUAAUAGCCCUCUACUGAGUGAGAGCUAUCUCAAUGAUUCACCCCAAGAUUCUUUUGGUACCUCUGUCAUUAUCCCCACUUUGUAGAGGACACAACAGGGAAGCCUCAAGAGCUAAAUAACUUGGUCAGAGUCCCUCAGCUAGUAGGAGGCAAAGCAAAAAUCCAGACUCGUGGGUCCUAAUUCAGCUGUGGCGGACAGUCCCUGGUAGAGCCUUGUAUUUCUUGUAGCCUCUAAGCUCUAUUUUCACUGAAUCCAAGGAUUCUGUUCCAGCCCUUUGGUCUUCUGUCUGCCUCUCCUUCCCAUCCUUGUCUUGGCUUGGGAUGUAGCUUCUGUUCCCAAUCGAAAUCUUGCUCCAGCAUAGCUUGAGGGCUACUUGCCUUUUGCCCCUAUUCCCACACCCUUUUGGACGGUGGUUGUUUUCUCUUCUAAACCCCCUGGUGCUGCUUAGUCUUGGCUGGCCUGGAACACAAAGAUUUUCUUGCUUCUUUCUUCUGAGUGCUGGUAUUAAAGGCCUGUGCCAUCUGGGCUUCCACCUUGGUUUUGAGGCAAUGUCUUUGUUGGUUUUGCCUCUGGUACUUUGGAUGUGAGCUUUCCACUGAUACUGUACCACCUCCCAUCUCUUAGUAGGAGUGCUAGAAUUACAGAUUCAAGCCACCAUAUCCAGUUUUUUCUGUGGUUUCUGGAGAUCACACUUAGGUUGCCAAAUGUUUGCCUGCUGAACCAUCUCCCUGGUCCCCCUCCCUUUUUAUGUGUAUUGGUGUUUUGCCCACAUGUCUGUGUCUGCCAGUGUACUAUAUGGGUACCUGACUCCCACAGAGGCCAGAAGAGGGCAUCAGAUCCCAUGCAACAAAUGGAGUUACAGACAGUUGAGAACCAUCAUGUAUGCUAUAAAUGGAAACAGGGCCCUCUGGAAAAGCAGCCAGUGCUCUUAACUGCUGACCCAUCUCUGUACCUCUCUGAAACUGGUGUGGCAUUUGCUGUGUAGGCCAGGCUGGCUUCAAACUCACAGAGAUCCACCUGCCUCCCCCCAGACCCGGCCUCCUCAAACUCCCCUCACUCCCAGUACUGGGAUUAAAGGCGUGGGGGCACCAAGGCACCAUGCCCUGCUCACUCCUGGCUUUUCCUUUUAUUUUUCUUUCUG
rnacentral:sRNA from 1 species